rnacentral:rRNA from 1 species
AUGGUGCAAGCGUUAUCCGGAUUUACUGGGUGUAAAGGGAGCGUAGACGGAGAAGCAAGUCUGGAGUGAAAGCCCGGGGCUCAACCCCGGGACUGCUUUGGAAACUGUUUUUCUUGAGUGCCGGAGAGGUAAGCGGAAUUCCUAGUGUAGCGGUGAAAUGCGUAGAUAUUAGGAGGAACACCAGUGGCGAAGGCGGCUUACUGGACGGUAACUGACGUUGAGGCGCGAAAGCGUGGGGAGCA